rnacentral:lncRNA from 1 species
GUGGUUUAUGCUAGCUUUUUCAACUGUCAAAUGAUCAGUUGGAAUUUAGAGAGUAACAGUGUUUCAAGACAGAGAUACAUUUAAACAUCAUGGUGCUUGACAGGCAAACAGGAAUCAUUUGCCCAAUUCCUUUAGAACUAGUCUUAAAAAAAAAAUGCAACAAGGCCUCUCAAAUUGCAGGAGAACUAAAAAACGAACCUCACUCCCUGAUUUACCCUUCCGGAUCUGUAUUCUCCAGAGUCACCAGCUCCUGCAGGUCUCUGGGGCCAGAGAGAGCGAGCGCUGAGCCUGGAGUGAAAGCCCUUCUGCAG